AAUCCUACUCCUUUGAAUUUUCUUUGAUCUACCCUGCACUCGUUCGUGAAGUCGCACCCCACUCCAGUCAGACUCUCCAUCGUCGACUCAACUCGUCCAUUGUCCUCAUCUGAACCUAUGGCCUCCAAGUCGGCCUGUCUGUGCGAUACAAGUGAGAACCCCUGAGCUCUCGCAGGUGAGAAAACCUCAUUCUUCACUUCAUCUCUUAAAUCUUCUUUCAUCGUGCAGUUUGAAUUUGAAUCGUAACUUGUAAUCAUAUUCGUCGUCUCCAUCGUCGUUCACAUCGCUGUUCUAUUUGCUGUUGAGAGUCCUUUUCCAAGGUUUGCAUAUGACUUCUCCAUCGCACGUGAGAAAACCUAAAUUGCUGUUAUUGAGCUUUACUUAUUUGUCUGUAGACCGUCAAUACUUUGAAGAUUGUGUUUCUUCUCUUGCAGCAAGCCCUGACCUUUUUUCUCAGGCAUGCUAUUUCUCCCUCACUCGUCCUUGUAAGCUAUUCAGAAUUAUAGUCAUAGUGACAUUAAUUAUUCUGUCAUUUUACAGGGGGCUUCAGGGCUCUGCUUUAGGAUUUGAUAUGAUUUUCUGCCCUGACUGAAUUUUAAUUUAAUAAUUAUUUUUCUGUAGUUGAUACAUGGUUGUUUAUAGAUCGACUUCAAAUGGGUGAAGUUGUCUUCACUAUUCCAAGGACUCGUUCUGUUAAAUCAUUCGGCCAAAUAGAUAUGUAUAACAUGUCGAUCCUCCUAUUUCUGAGUCCAAGAUAUGGAAAAUUGGAAUUAGAAUGCAGACAAUUUGUAUAUAUAGUGUUAGACAUCUUAUGUAUAGUUAGUUACUGACGAUUUAUUUUGUUAUUUGAUUUGAUGUAGCAAUUGGGUUUAAUGUUGAAACAGUGCAAUAUAACAACAUUAAAUUUCAAGUCUGGAUUUCUUUCUAAGGAUAGGUUGUUUUGUAAUGUUAAUAGGUUAGAAACAUGCAGGCGAAUUUGAUUUGUAUUUGCAAUGUUUGCAACUGAUUCUACUGCAGUUUAGGAUGAAAAGUUUGGGUAAUAGUUUCAAGUCAGAAGAUGGGUUUGGUUAGAGGUUGAUGAUGUUCUUUGAUAGAUGUAAUACAAUGUGUUUAAUUUUAGAAGAGUUAACCUUCCUAAACAUUAUAUAACUGAUGGUUUAUCAUUUAUGAAGAUGAUUUUGCACCUAGCCAUUACUUUAAUGGCCUAGUUAAAGUAUCUUAUGCUUGUGGAACCGUUCUGUUUUGGCUCUUUGCGUCGUGCUUUCUGCUUAAAUUAUAGGUGGCUUGCUUAUAUAUAGUUUAUAUCAAAUAUAACCAUGAAGGAAAUCAACCAGUCUGAUGGAAGAAAAAUUCUGUUUUAUGGACACAUGUAUUACAUGAUCUCGUAUGAUCAUGGCUCUCCUCACAAUUGUUUGAUAGAUUAGAGUAUUUUUAAUUCUUAAAGUUGUUUAAUUUUGUUGAUUCUUUAAUUUGAUGUUAUUUCAACUAAACGUGUGUAAAAUUGAUAUUUAAUUUUUUCUUCUCUACAAGUCAGGUUGUGUCCAAGCCUUAUUGCUUUACUCUUUAUUGUGUCUUAAUGUGUCAUAAAGUCCAAGCCUUAUUGUAUUACUCUUUAUCAUGUUUAACAAGGUUAGAAAGUCAAAGAAACUGGUGAACCAAAAGUUUCUUCUGCUAAACAGGUACCGCAAGUAAUGAUUGUGUUCUUUUGCUUAUGACAGGAAAAAUAAAAGAUUGCUGUUUAUUUAUUUAUUUGUUUUAUUGUCUGAAAUUCACAUCUUAAAUUUAUGGAUCGUAUUAACUGCAAUGGAUAACUUUGUUUGUCUCUUGGCACAAGUUUUGACACGUCUUUGUUCUAUGUUUUGCGGGACCUAUCAGAGAUGAUUUUUCAGUUUGCUAUGUAGGAAGCAGCAUCUGGCUAUGUGUGGCUUGUGUAUUUUCCCCUAAGUUUUUUCUUUAUUUUAUAUUUGUGAGAUAUUUUUAGAAUUCUUGUAAUAUCAUUGAAUGAGUUUAAUACUCCACAUUUCUUGUAAUAUUGAAUGACUUUUGAUAUAUAGUUAACGGAUUGAACCA